GACGAACCGAGCGAACGUUAUUCGGAAUCACUGGGCUUAAAGGGCGCGUAGGCGGACCGUCAAGUCAGGGGUGAAAGCCCGCGGCUCAACCGCGGAAGUGCCUUUGAUACUGGCGGUCUCGAGGGAGGUAGGGGCGUGCGGAACUUCCGGUGGAGCGGUGAAAUGCGUAGAUAUCGGAAGGAACACCGGUGGCGAAGGCGGCAUCCUGGACCGAUACUGACGCUGAGGAGCGAAAGCCAGGGGAGCAAACGGG
rnacentral:rRNA from 1 species